rnacentral:misc_RNA from 1 species
GAUCGUCCUACUGCUGCUCAGCUCUUAGACCAUUCAUUUGUAAGACGAUCACUUUCCACGUCAUUGUCAGGUUCUGCAUCACCUUAUAUUGGCCGAAAAUCUUGGAAGCUCUCACCUAUGACUACUGAUAAUUAGUUCUGUCCGCAGCAAAGCAUGCAAGACUCAUUUAUCAUGUUGCAUAGACAAGUGGGUCGACUUGUUCUUGGACGCUGUAUUUUGCAGCCAUUAAUUUUUGGUUGCAUAAAACUAAAAGCAUGCGAGCAUGGUUUAAAUUAAUGAAGAUCGAAAUGACGUGCAGGAUCUGGCCUUGUAACUUUACUAUGAUGAUAUCAGAUUUUUUAUUCAUGGGUUCUGCUCUGAAAAUUCAACUUUAUAGCUCUGGCGGUUCUUAAAGUAGCAUUUAGUUGUUUGUCUGUUGUAAGAAAUGGGGAGCAGACACCAUUGUGUGUAUAUAUCCCAUGAUUGUAGCAAAUGUCAGUGAUAAUUCAACUUUUAGUGUUUUUCUUUUUUUUUUUUUUUAAAGUUUUGUACUGCUAACGGCUUUUGUAAAAUAUGUUCCAUAUGAAUGCAUUGAUUCUAAAUUAUUU